AGUAGUUUGUAUCAGUGGCUCAGGACGACGCUGGCGGCGUGCUUAACACAUGCAAGUCGAACGGGGCGAUUUUAAGCUUGCUUAGAUGAGCCUAGUGGCAAACGGGUGAGUAACGCGUAGGCAACCUGCCUCUAAGAUGGGGACAACAGUCCGAAAGGACUGCUAAUACCGAAUGUUGUAAGUAACUCGCAUGAGGGACUUACCAAAGAUGGCCUCUACUUGUAAGCUAUCACUUAGAGAUGGGCCUGCGUCUGAUUAGCUAGUUGGUGGGGUAACGGCUCACCAAGGCGACGAUCAGUAGCCGGUCUGAGAGGAUGAACGGCCACAUUGGGACUGAGACACGGCCCAGACUCC
rnacentral:rRNA from 1 species